rnacentral:rRNA from 1 species
CGAGUGAAGCGGGAAAAGCUCAAAUUUAAAAUCUGGCAGUCUUUGGCUGUCCGAGUUGUAAACUAGAGAAGUGUUAUCCGUGCUGGACCGUGUAAAAGUCUUCUGGAAUGGAGCAUCAUAGAGGGUGAGAAUCCCGUCUUUGACAUGGACUACCAGUGCAUUGUGAUGCGCUCUCAAAGAGUCGAGUUGUUUGGGAAUGCAGCUCAAAAUGGGUGGUAAAUUCCAUCUAAAGCUAAAUAUUGGCGAGAGACCGAUAGCGAACAAGUACCGUGAGGGAAAGAUGAAAAGAACUUUGGAAAGAGAGUUAAACAGUACGUGAAAUUGCUGAAAGGGAAACGCUUGAAGUCAGUCGCGUCGGCCAGGAAUCAACCUUGCUUUUGCUGGGCGUACUUUCUGGUUGACGGGUCAGCAUCAAUUUUGACUGUUGGAAAAAGUUUGAGGGAAUGUGGCAUCUUCGGAUGUGUUAUAGCCCUCUUUCGCAUACAGCAGUUGGGAUUGAGGUACUCAGCACGCCGCAAGGCCGGGUUUCGACCACGUUCGUGCUUAGGAUGCUGGCAUAAUGGCUUUAAUCGACCCGUCUUGAAACACGGACCAAGGAGUCUAACAUGCCUGCGAGUGUUUGGGUGGAAAACCCAAGCGCGCAAUGAAAGUAAAAGUUGAGAUCCCUGUCAUGGGGAGCAUCGACGCCCGGACCAGACCUUUUGUGACGGAUCUGCGGUAGAGCAUGUAUGUUGGGACCCGAAAGAUGGUGAACUAUGCCUGAAUAGGGUGAAGCCAGAGGAAACUCUGGUGGANGCUCGUAGCGAUUCUGACGUGCAAAUCGAUCGUCNAAUUUGGGUAUAGGGGC